CCGCCCGUAGCUCAGGGGUCAGAGCGCCACCCUUAUAAGGUGGAUGUCGGUGGUUCAAUUCCACCCGGGCGGA
rnacentral:tRNA from 1 species